rnacentral:rRNA from 1 species
UACGGGGGGAGCAAGCGUUGUUCGGAUUUACUGGGCGUAAAGGGCGCGUAGGCGGCCACCGCAAGUCGAUUGUGAAAUCUCCGGGCUUAACCCGGAAAGGUCAACCGAUACUGCGGGGCUAGAGUGCAGAAGGGGCAACUGGAAUUCUCGGUGUAGCGGUGGAAUGCGUAGAUAUCGAGAGGAACACCUGCGGCGAAGGCGGGUUGCUGGGCUGACACUGACGCUGAAGUGCGAAAGCUAGGGGAGCGAACGGG